rnacentral:misc_RNA from 1 species
UUUCCGUAGGUGAACCUGCGGAAGGAUCAUUAACACGUAUCCACGUAUCAAAACCCCUCUGUGCACCCUCUUGAACUCAAGGCGUGGUCUUAGUGUGUUGUUCGUAUGGGUCCUAACGUUGGAGAUGUCGGUUUCGGCCGGUAUCGGGCUCGAGCAGCAUGUGUUUGACGACCUGCCGUUACUUUACCACCGUUGGCCUUUCUCAUCUCCAUUUUAACCCCUUGUACUCUUUUGUACUGAACCAAUUCUUCGAUGCUCUCUCCGGAGAAGCGACGAAUGAUAUUACGAAACUAAAAGAACAACUCUUAGCAACGGAUAUCUUGGUUCCC